rnacentral:rRNA from 1 species
CCUACGGGUGGCAGCAGUGGGGAAUAUUGGACAAUGGGGGGAACCCUGAUCCAGCCAUGCCGCGUGUGUGAAGAAGGCCCUCGGGUUGUAAAGCACUUUCAGUGAGGAAGAACGCCUGGUGGUUAAUACCCAUCAGGAAAGACAUCACUCACAGAAGAAGCACCGGCUAACUCCGUGCCAGCAGCCGCGGUAAUACGGAGGGUGCGAGCGUUAAUCGGAAUUACUGGGCGUAAAGCGCGCGUAGGUGGCUUGAUAAGCCGGUUGUGAAAGCCCCGGGCUCAACCUGGGAACGGCAUCCGGAACUGUGAGACGAGAGGUUAGAGGGGGAGGGUAGAGGCGCCGGUGGAGCGGUGGGGUGGGUACAGAGCGGGCGGAGGGGCAGGGGCGAAGGAGAGGUUCUGGAUAGAAACUGACGGUGAGGUUCGUCAGCUGGCAUACCUAGCAGCCCUAGGUAGACGGGGGUGC